UGUCAUUCGAGAUAAAGAAAGAAUUUCAAUAUUUAAUAUUCACUCCUUAGGCAUAAUGAUUGUUUUAAGCAUUUUCUUUAUGAUGGACAGAGCCCAUGCCUUACCAUAAUGUGUUAUACACAAAGGGAGCAUCUUUAACAACUAGCUAACCCUCCAGCUCUCUUUAAUGAAUUAUUGAAAAACUGCUGUUGCAAUUGUCCUCUUGCACAGAUUGCAGCUGUCCAAAGGGGUUUUUUUAAUGUAUAUCUAGAACCACAACUGCUAAAUAUAAAUAUAUCUGUGUUAAUAAUAAGCUUGUAUAUAUUUCUAGCUAGUGAAAAAUGUUAUUCAAAACAGAGACAUCUCUGUUCAUACAAUUAGUGUCCACACAUGUUGGGGUUUUUUACAUGAGUCUUUGAUGUCCACACUGGAUUCUCCCAUUUGUAGUGUCUUUGCAAUUAUGUUAACAGGUUUUGGAGUCACUUCGACUGGAGUACUGAUUUUGGCUGGCCUAGAGUCAAUUUUCUUCAUAGUAGCUACGUUUGGUAUUUGUGCUGAAAGCAGUGUUGAUAACACAGGGAUGUUCAAGCUGUUUCUGAGCAGUGUUUGGACAGAGACAAAGCCUUUUCUGCUUCUCACUGAGGAGGCUGGGGGUGUGCAAGGAGCUGGAUGGGGACACGGGGGAAAGGGAUCUGUCAUACCCCUUUGUUGUAGUGCUCAGCAAUAAAAGUUGGAAGAAAGGAAUGGGGGAUGUUUGGAGAUUGGGAUUUAUCUUUUUGGAUGUUGGGAUUUAUCUUUCCAAGUCAUAAUUAUAUGUUAAGAAGCCCUGCUUUCCUGGAAAUGGCUGAACACCUGCCCAUGGGAAGUGGGGACUUACUUCCUUGUUUUGCUCUGCUUAUACAUGUGGCUUCUGCUUUACCUUCUAAACUCCCUUCAACUCAACCUCAAACCACGACACCUGGCCACAGUACAGCCCUCGAGGAUCUCUGAUAUAGAUGUCUUCUCACAUCAUCAGCACGACAAGCUGACUUUGGGUUGUGACACACAGUUUUAACACUAUCACCUCAGGGGAAGAAAGAAACAAACUCCGGUAAGUUUUGCAGAGAACUAAGCAGCCAAGGGGUACAACAUAUUUUCUCUUAAUGUAAAAUUAUUUUUAAAUGAACAGUGUAACUAAUAAUCAGCUGCUAUUUCAGGCUAUUUAAUAUUAUUACAAAGCAAAACGAGUAAGUUAAAAUCAAGGACUAGAGUACAAGUGGAACAAGCAAGAAAAAACAAGAGAAAGCAAAAGGCAACACUGAAUUUGAAAUAGAGUGAAGAAAAAAUCAUAAACAUUCUUUUCUCUCUUGUAUUCUUUCUCUCUUACAGCAUUUAAAAAGUCCUGUAAGGUAGCCUUCUUUUACAAUGAAUCUUACAAAUUGAGAGGAUUUGCUUUUAAUUCUUCUAGAUGGUGUGGGAGAAGAGCAGCAACUUUAGUGCUUCAUUUCCUGACCCUAUAAACACUUAAGGAUUUUGCUUGCUUUCAAGUGCAAAGGCCCACUGACACGCAGAGGGACUACUCAGAGGCUUAAACUUAAGCAGAAGAGAAUUCAUAUAUAUUUUAUUUGAAUUAUAAUUCCCUAAUGGAGAAAUGAACCCAGAGGCAGACAGCUAGGAGAGACAGAGGAAAAAAUCUACAGGAAACUUUUCAAGUUCAUAGCCAAGAAGUGGCAUCUGCAGUAGAAAGUCUGACUGAUCAAACCACCCCUGGAAGAGGUCACAGAUCCACUCAAAGCCCUGCUCUGUGUUAUCCAUAUGAAGAAGCUUUCCAGCCUCAGCUGCUCUAAAUUAUCAUUGUACUGUUGAAAUCAAUUGUAUUUAAGCACCUGCCACUUCCAGAUGUCCAAUAUUUGCCAGAUUUUUUCUUGUUGCCAGUGCCAAGAAAGAAAAAUGGAUCAUUUGCUAGUCCCUUUGAUGACAUGGAGUGAGAAAAUGAAGAAAACCCAUACAUACUGCCUUACAAGAUCUCUAAAACUCGGCUAUGGAGGAGAGGUCAACUAUUUCUAGAGUGAACAAUAAGUUUCCAUGUGGAGUUCUCUGAUAAUUCAUAACACAUACUGGACAGAAAGAAAACAAGCAGGAGCCUCCAUCCCCUCUAUACAGCCAUUGUAUUUGGCCUGCAACACUUGGAAUCAAGUGGAAACCCAGCAUGGAGUAGAAAAAAAUAUCACCUGCCCAUAUCCUUUUUUAAGUGAUGCUUUGCAGUAAAUUGCUUUCUGUUUAAUUUGGCUUAUGCAAACAACACUGCCUUUGGUGAGGCAGCAUGACUCCUGAAAUCUUCAGCAUGAGCAGGAUCAGCCUGUGCACUUCCUUGUUGCCAUGGAGUAUCUGGAGAACUGUCCUCUAUGGGUAGUCCUUAUGCAUGAAUCUAAUUACCCUCACAAGCAUUGGAGACUUUACAUUGGUACAGACUGAGCUUUGCUUCUGAAUAGAUUACUUGGAACACUAAAAUAAAAGUAAUUUUGGCUGAAUUUUAUUGCUGCACCUACAAAGAAAGAAAGUAGUAAUUAUUGUUAAUGUUUCAUAAACUCCAGCUUUUUCGUCAUCUUAACUACAUUGAAUUUCAGAAACAUUAUGAUCUGUAGAGUAUAGGAUCAUAUUCAACAACAACAAAAAAAACCUCUUUGUUUGUAGAGUGUAUUGUCUUGUGUUAAGAUUUGGUUAGCAGGAUAUAACCAAAAUGACUUUUCAAUUAUAUCUUACAUUAGCUCAUUCAGUAAUGAGAUAAACAAGCUGUCUGGCAGAAUGGGUUUUGGUUGAUGAGGAAAUAGGUGAAUACACAAAAAAAAAAAAGGCUGUAAUCACAUUUAUUUCCUGAAUCACAAUAAAGGAUUAAUGUUAUAUUCUAGACCAAUCAGUCACACUGAUUCUGUGGACAUAUGUUAAUGAACAUGCAAAAGAACCCAAAGAACUCUUAACAUCAAGCAAGAAAAAUUUGUGAGUUUAACUAUCUGGAAAAAAAAAAAAGAACAACAUUGAUGUGUUUCUAUAUGGUUUGCAACCAUAGCUUUGGAACAACAAGGAUGUUAAAUUGCUGGAAAGUUUUCUGGAAUAUUAAAAACUCCAAAUCUAUAUUCAGCAGAUGCCAGCCCUUACUCUGUGAAUAAAAGCCUCCCCUGCGCAGCAUUUUUUAUUCUAUCUUGUAUGAGCCUUACACCUAACUGAAUUUCAUGCAGUGACUUUACAGAGAGCAAAGUUCUGGCCUCUGAAGGCAGUGGAAAGGUUCCUGAAAAUUUCAGAGCCAUCAGAGGUAGCCUUGCAAAGAGCAUGUGCAAGAAAAUCUUCUUUCCAGGAGUUGUGACAGCUACACAUAGAUGCCAUGUCCAUCCUCCAACAAACACAGUGCUGGAAGAACUUCAGGGAGCUUGGAAAGGUAAGAGGUGGUGAGCUGCACCCCCAAGGAGUUCUGGUUAUCUGCCCCAGGUGUUUCAGAUCUGCUGUGCUCUGCCUUUGCUGAGUGCAUCAAACCUGGCCCUGCAUGUUCCAGGAGGGAGAUACCAGGUAACUGGAAUAUCAAUUA